rnacentral:snoRNA from 1 species
CUGCUCUAAGAAUUGCACCUGGAGAGUUUACAGUACUCUGCCAGUAUCGAUUAUGGGAGGGAGAGUCAAACAGAGACAUAUCCAUCCCAUUCCUAGCUUGGGCAGUGGUUAGCGAGUGGAAGGCAAUCUGCUACAAGU